rnacentral:rRNA from 1 species
AGAGUUUGAUCCUGGCUCAGGAUGAACGCUGGCGGCGUGCUUAACACAUGCAAGUCGAGCGAGAAAGUUCUUCGGAGCUUUUCUAGCGGCGGACGGGUGAGUAACACGUGGGCAACCUGCCUCAUAGAGGGGAAUAGCCUUCCGAAAGGAAGAUUAAUACCGCAUAAUAUUGUUGAAAGGCAUCUUUUAACAAUCAAAGGAGCAAUCCGCUAUGAGAUGGGCCCGCGGCGCAUUAGCUAGUUGGUGAGGUAACGGCUCACCAAGGCGACGAUGCGUAGCCGACCUGAGAGGGUGAUCGGCCACAUUGGAACUGAGACACGGUCCAGACUCCUACGGGAGGCAGCAGUGGGGAAUAUUGCACAAUGGGGGAAACCCUGAUGCAGCGACGCCGCGUGGAGGAAGAAGGUCUUCGGAUUGUAAACUCCUGUUGUUGGGGAAGAUAAUGACGGUACCCAACAAGGAAGUGACGGCUAACUACGUGCCAGCAGCCGCGGUAAAACGUAGGUCACAAGCGUUGUCCGGAAUUACUGGGUGUAAAGGGAGCGCAGGCGGGAAGACAAGUUGGAAGUGAAAUCUAUGGGCUCAACCCAUAAACUGCUUUCAAAACUGUUUUUCUUGAGUAGUGCAGAGGUAGGCGGAAUUCCCGGUGUAGCGGUGGAAUGCGUAGAUAUCGGGAGGAACACCAGUGGCGAAGGCGGCCUACUGGGCACCAACUGACGCUGAGGCUCGAAAGUGUGGGUAGCAAACAGGAUUAGAUACCCUGGUAGUCCACACCGUAAACGAUGAUUACUAGGUGUUGGAGGAUCGACCCCUUCAGUGCCGCAGUUAACACAAUAAGUAAUCCACCUGGGGAGUACGACCGCAAGGUUGAAACUCAAAGGAAUUGACGGGGGCCCGCACAAGCAGUGGAGUAUGUGGUUUAAUUCGAAGCAACGCGAAGAACCUUACCAGGUCUUGACAUCCAACUAACGAGAUAGAGAUAUGUUAGGUGCCCUUCGGGGAAAGUUGAGACAGGUGGUGCAUGGUUGUCGUCAGCUCGUGUCGUGAGAUGUUGGGUUAAGUCCCGCAACGAGCGCAACCCUUGCUAUUAGUUGCUACGCAAGAGCACUCUAAUAGGUCUGCCGUUGACAAAACGGAGGAAGGUGGGGACGACGUCAAAUCAUCAUGCCCCUUAUGACCUGGGCUACACACGUACUACAAUGGACGUCAACAGAGGGAAGCAAGAUAGCGAUAUGGAGCAAACCCCUAAAAACGUUCUCAGUUCAGAUUGCAGGCUGCAACCCGCCUGCAUGAAGUCGGAAUUGCUAGUAAUCAAAGAUCAGCAUGCUGCGGUGAAUACGUUCCCGGG